rnacentral:rRNA from 1 species
CCUACGGGGGCUGCAGUGGGGAAUAUUGGACAAUGGGCGAAAGCCUGAUCCAGCCAUGCCGCGUGUGUGAAGAAGGCCUUCGGGUUGUAAAGCACUUUCAGUGGGGAAGAAAGCCUUGGGGCUAAUACCCUCGAGGAAGGACAUCACCCACAGAAGAAGCACCGGCUAACUCCGUGCCAGCAGCCGCGGUAAUACGGAGGGUGCGAGCGUUAAUCGGAAUUACUGGGCGUAAAGCGCGCGUAGGCGGUCUGAUAAGCCGGUUGUGAAAGCCCCGGGCUCAACCUGGGAACGGCAUCCGGAACUGUCAGGCUAGAGUGCAGGAGAGGAAGGUAGAAUUCCCGGUGUAGCGGUGAAAUGCGUAGAAAUCGGGAGGAAUACCAGUGGCGAAGGCGGUCUUCUGGACUGACACUGACGCUGAGGUGCGAAAGCGUGGGUAGCAAACAGGAUUAGAUACCCUGGUAGUC